ensembl:lncRNA LINC00667 long intergenic non-protein coding RNA 667
ACUUCCGGCAGCGCCGCGGCCGGGAGGGACCGAGCGGGGAGCAAGGCCUGCGGGGAGGCGCAGGAUGGACGCGUUGGCUGUCAUGAUGUAGGACCUCCUGACCUAGAACCAUGCCCGGCGCAGGGAGAACAACGAGCUUACGGACCGGGUGCGGGGGCUGCUGUGCGAGAAAGCCUACCUGCUGGCCCGGGAGCGUUCGCCGGCCCACCUGGUGGCUUUCCCUGGACGUUUAACGGCGACUCCGCCCGGCCUCCCGACUUUUUGAUGCAGGCGUUCUCUUACAUGACUUUCUUCGAGGCUAGAUUCUCGAAAGACAUCCUGAAGGUGGCUUUCUUAAUUAGCUGCCUCACCGGCUGGCGGAGCAGUUCGUAGUCGCCUACAUCGAGAGGGAGAGCCCCGUCCUGGCUCAGUACUGGGGCUUCGUGGACGCGCUGUAGCGGGUCUUCGCCGUCGUGGGUAGGAAACAGUCGGGCCGGAUCCCCGGUGUCUGGGGAGCGGCUGCCGGCCGGGCCCGCGCGAGCCGCUUCACUCCUACAAGCCCGGCUCACUAGUUCCAAGCUGCUGGACUUUGACCCUCGCUGGGAAGCUUGAUCGCCGCCUGUUCUCGCCAAUCUCUAUGCCUUUGCACUGCCCAGCAACCCGGUCACUGCCCAGGACCUGUUAAAAGUUGAAUGGACCUCCCAGAAUCACGCCGCUGCCACCGCCGUUUCUAGAGACGGCUUUUGGCCACCUUUGAGAAUCAGGGUCAAACUUGGAAGGGCCUGCAUUUGUCACACUUCCUCGGACACUAAUUUGGAUAGUUCAGGCCCAGAGACGGCUUCCCGGAACCUUCUGGAUUUCAGCUUUGGCAAGCUUCCUCUGUUUCUGAGACACCUCCAUCACCUGGGUUACAAUCCCAUCCAUGAUUUUCCCCAUCUCCAGGCAUUUUUCAUGGAAAGCUCCUCAUGCUUUUUAAUUCCAGUUUAUCCAUUUGUGUGGCUUUAACCUCCACAUCCAGGUCUUUCUGGCUAAACUGCAGUAUAUCCACAAUGGGGCCAAUGGACACAUAAGGGAGGCCCUAUCACAGGAACACGAACACCCGGAGUCGCUAGAAAUCAGAUUCCACCGGCUUUGCUUCAGGCCGACUUCCUAAGGAAGGCAUGGUAGCAUCACAGAUGCUGUUUGUCUCAGUUUCCUGAGAAGCCAGUUUCUUAGAGCUGUCAUUCAAGAGUGGGUCAAAUUUGAGAUAUAAAAACCUUUCUCAAGGUAGACUCUUUGGCCCCUAUGCCUAGUAUGUCAGCUGGGCCUCUGAAGCUCUCCUCUUUGAGGUCCUGGCAGGCUCUGGCCCCUGUUGAGAAGGGGAAGCAGUCAUGUGAACUCAUGUGCUGGAAGAAUCCACUCUACCCCUUCCCUGGCUUCUCUGCUGCAAUUUUUGUCUUUAAACGUAUUUUCAGGUGAUUCCAGUUUGCAUACAUAAUUGAGAAAUAUAAGAUUUGGUCCCCAGUAGAGAGCCAGGUGAACUUAAGAAGGAGUCCAUCUAAGAAAAUUGCACAAUUAUCUAGUUUCACUUGGGUUUAGCUUUUAUGGCUUACUUGAUUUAGUAAUCAAAUGAUUUUCAAAUGAUUUUGAUCAGGUGACUCUUCGUAAACUAGAGAAUGAACUUGAGAGCCGAAUUAGCACAGUUUAAAAAUAAUCAUUUAGUUUUUGUUCUCUAUUGUGUAAAUUAUUGAGGUUUGACUGUCUUGGCUAAACUAAGGCUCAUCUAAUAUCUUUAUUUUUGAUAUCCUAAUUUCUUGCCAAUUAAUUGAAGGUAACAUACUAGCAGACCAGAUAACUACUUAUGCAAACCUCAGAUAACCACUAAUUUAAACAAAAUUAAAUCCUUUGCCUUCCCCAGAUCCUUUGCACAUGGCCUGCUAUCAACAAUCCUCUACAAUGAUUCUCAGCAUCACCUAGGGAGCUUAUGUAAAAUCUCAAAUUCCUGGGCCCUAUCCCCAGAGUUUCUUAUCAAGUAAGUCUGCAUUGGGAUCUGAGGAUUUGCAUCUCUAACAAAAAUUCCUAGGCGAUGCUCACACUGUUGGUGUAAGGGUGAGUACAAAUUAGAAAUAAAACUAUUUAAUUCUGCCUGGUGCAAAGGAGAGAGAGAGACUUUUACCCUCCACAUCCUUUUCUUUGGUCAUUUACUUUAGGAAACUUAAUUGUAAGCUUUUUCUGUGCCUCUUUGAAAUGCCUGUAAAUCUUUCCAAAAACUAAAUUAGGCUUUUGCCAAUUUUACAACCUAAGAAUGUGAAUUCCUCAAGGACCUGGGAGCUAUCUCACUGAAAUUUAAUCAUUGAGAAAAAUAGUACCCCUAUCUUUCAGCUUCCUGGAAACAUAAGAGCCUAACUUUAUUAGGCACCUUGCUCCAUUACAAAGCUAUCUUCUGUCAUAAAGAUACAAGAAAUUUAUUUUUCCCUUGGACAAAAGCAACUAACUAGCAGAGGGUCACCAAAAUUACCAGGUGAAUUUAGGGUGAACUCUGUGUGACAAAUGGUGCUGCCAAGUUCUCUUGAGUACUAUAGAAAGUGCAUGACAUGAAUUUUUUACUUCAUGAUGGUGCAAAACCAUUGCUUUUCACUUUCAGUAUAAUAUUCAAGAAAUUACAUAUUGAAUAUAAGAUAUUCAAUAUCUUAUUCUUUAUUAUAGGCUUUGUGUUAUAUAAUUUUGCCCAACUAACUGUAGGCUAAUGUAAGUGUUCUGAACAUGUUGAAGGUAGGUUAGACUAAGCUCUAAUGUUCAGUAGGGUAGGUGUAUUAAGUGCAUUUUCAACUUACGAAAUUUAAGCUGAUAUCCAAAGAAUGAGUAAGAAUGAGGUAAAGGAGCAAGAAAACAUUGCUUCAGGCAAAGGAAUAGUAUGUGCAAAAGCCCUGGGGUUUAAGAAUAUGAUGUUUUUAGAGAACUGCAAAUAAUUCAGUAUGGUUGGAGCAGAGGGAUGUGGAAUGAUUAUUGAUUCUGUUGGAGAGUAGACAGAGGCCAGAUUGCUAUGCUUAGAUACAAUUUCAACCACCUACAAAUCCAUCUAAUUACCUACAUGACCAUCAUCAUCUGGUCAUGUUUCUCCAUUUUAUCAUUAUGUAUACCUUAAAGACUUGCUCACAUUACUUAAAAUUGAGAUAGGUUAGGCAUCUAUCCAAUCUCCCAUGCCAGUAAUUCUACAGAAACAGAUUAGGUUAGCUAGAUAAGCAUGUUUACAAUUAAAUUUAUGCUGUAUCCUUCUAAUCACCACUUUCUCAUCAAAAUGCUCACAAAUCAUCUGCAUCAUUGUCCAUUCUUUAAAAAUGUAUAAACCCAUCUCUACUAAAAAUACAAAAUUAGCUGGGCAUGAUGGCGCACGCCUGUAAUCCCAGCUGUUCAGGAGGCUGAAGCAGAAGAAUUGCUUGAACCCCGGAGACGGAGGUUGCAGUCAGCCGAGAUUGCACCAUUG